AGGAAUAAGCACUCCGCUUAAGCCCGGAGACUGCAGAAAUUACGUUCCUGACCUUGGUCCAUCGUUUGAAAAUUACUGCUCUAGGAUGCUGGACAAAAGAAGGGGUGACGUGAGAAGCAUUUGCUUACCUUUGUGAGAAGUGGGGGAGGCUCCGCAAGCGGGUACAGUUCCUUGUUCUCCUGGAUCUUUCCUAUCAUGGCAUCUGUGUUGUACCAUC